rfam:Arabidopsis thaliana chromosome 3, complete sequence.
GGAUGUGAUCAUACCCGCACUAAUGCACUGGAUCCUAUCAGAACUCCGCAGUUAAGUGUGCUUGGGCGAGAGUAGUAAUAGGAUGAGUGACCUCCCAGAAAGUCCUCGUGUUGAAUCCC